UCCGCCAUUUGAAAAAAAACGUUCGUAACUGCUCAGCUGAACCCGAAGCUUGAUGAAGAAGGCCGUCAAUAUUUCAACAAAAACUAACAGAAUAUGGAUCAGAUUCGGACAACGACUUCUUAAGACAUUCACACAACAGGCUAAACAAUUCAAAGAGGGAUCUCUGGAUGAUCGAGCAGCAAGUCCAGCAUUAUGUGGGAAAGAUACUACAGGUGUACACAGAAAAGGCCAUGUUCUUGUACAAGACACGGUUGGAGUUCAUAAAAGAUUAAGCUGCCUCGUGCUAUACAGACUUGGAUAAAAACAAGCUGUCCAAUGAAUGGUGACUACUCAAGAGGAGCCAGAAAGUCAACUAAAGCCAGGGUAUUUUGGGAGUUGAUAUGGCCGGGGAAGGGGGGAGGGGGGGUUUCCAGGGCCCCCCCCUUCCUUGAGAUCUUGACCGCACAAUCGCGUCUAACAUUGGCACAUGGGUUGUCUAGGGCAUAAUUUACAAAAUUAAAUUGUAAAUUAUUUCACGCAAAUUGUUAGUAAGUGAUAAUACUAAUUUAUGCGUAAUUAGAAUACAAAAUCAUACUUUUUCCUCUAUUGCAUUGACUUUGUACACAAAAUCACGUUUUUGAGCAAUUUUUGGUAUGACAUGUACUUACAUAAUGUCACGUUAUUACAGAACCACGUACCGGGUGACACAAGAUUGGUCUCAAAAGAUGCACAAGACUAGAAAGAGGCAUGUUUUAAAAAAAUUGUGCGACAGCAUGGUCGCAAAAUUUUUGGAAGGGGGGGGGGUCAAAUUGGUCCAAUUUAACUAAGGGUUAAUAACUGGGAGGCUGUUAGCUGCCUUUUUACUUUCAAGUCUUGCACAUCUUUUGAGACCAAAUUUGUGAUGCCUGGGUACGCUGUUCCGAAAUUUCGCAACAUUUUUAUGUAUUAAUCCAACACAAAUACUGUUUCUUGCUAAAAAUUCACAAUUAGUAUACCAGUAAUAUACAUUUAUCAAGUCAAAUUAUUUAAUUACAUUUAUAAUCAUAAAAGCUUUGAUAAAGUAAAAAAAAAAAACAAAGAGUUGUAUGUAGGCCUGGGACUUUCGGGUUUUUUCUCUUCGGGUACCCGUGGUAAUUUUCGGGUGGGUACCUGAAAAUCAUGUCACUUGAAAUAUGACUGGUGGAAAAACCCCAUAGGUGACGUCAUCAAGCCAAUGCGAUGCAAGCCAAUUUAUGAAUGAAAAUAUAGUAAGCAUGCGCAUUGCAAGCCUCCCGUGCCCCACGCAGUAUUCCAUCGAAACAAGUUUCAAUACUCUGUCACCUCGUACCAAAAUCGACCUAGAAUUCCACUUUCCUAUAUAUCAUAUGAAUUAUAAAAGGUUUUCUCACCGAUACUGCACAGGUAAGCAAAUUUUUAUUCUUGCUUUUCCGUCAAAAUCUUACGAAGUAGCAUCGAUAUUACAUCGUGUUCGUGAGUUUGUAUCGCUACGUGAACAAAGUCAAUUGAUUUCCGGGUUUCGGAGCGUCAAAUGCGCCAGCCAAUCACGAUCGUGUUCCCAUUUUCGGUUUAUGAUGAACUAAAAAUGGUAACAAGAACGUGAUUGGCUGGUGCUUCGUAGGUCGAUUUUGGUAUGAGGUGACAGAGUAUUGCAGACUUGUUUUGACGUAAUACUGCGUGGGGCUGAGGCUUGCAAUGCGCAUGCUUACUAUAUUUUCAUUCAUAAAUUGGUUUGCGUCGCAGUGGCUGGAUGACGUCACUGCGCUGCAAAAGAAACAUGGCGAUGAUUGAACGAUCUCGGUCACAUCAUCAUCACUUGAAAACUUGUAUAUUUAUGGAUAUUUAGAGGGUAAUUGGUGAAAUUCAAAAUGAGGCUUGUGUACUUUUGUAAUGAGUUACAAUCAUGUCUUACACUACGCAAUACAAAUCAAAUACAUGUACAUUAUACUGGUGAGCAAUUUUCGGGUAUCGGGUAUUGAUUUUUCUACUCGGGUACCCGGGUUUUAGUCCCAGCCCUAGUUGUAUGAAAAUUUUCAAAAAUAAUGAAAGGUAAAAGAAAACAAGAUUACAAUGUCCAUUGCAAGGGGGCUAGUCUAGCUAUUCAGGAUAAUUGGGAUUUUAUUCAGUUUUUAAUUGACAUAACAUUAUGACAAGAUCCCUCCAUUUAGUGUAUAAACAGCACAUGGCCAUGAUUGAAAUUCAUAUAACAUUAAAGUAUGCAAACCAGGCAGCUACAUGUACAUGUAGGACUCACUGCUUGUCAAUUCUAUUGUCUGCCAGGGUCAAGUGACAUACAGUGCACAUGUAUAACAUGUGUGAAAGUACAUAAGAAAAUCAGCUUUUUAUUUUUGUACUGUAACAUUGGGUGAACUGGUGAUCACUUUGGAUAUGAUGCUCUUCAUAUUGGUUUAUUUUAUGUAUAUGAAUUUUUGGAUAAUCAUUAAGAAUUAAAGCCAUUUACUUAAUAUAUGGAAGCAUAAGCCCAUCAAAGAACAGAAUUAUGUCAUGUACAGCUAAUUCAUUUUGCGUGAUAUUACAAUUGUAAUUGUUUACUUGAGCAAGUAAUUUGAAUUGCUGCAUGACCUAAACAAUGACAUGUUCCAAUUCGAAUAGUAACAUGACCUAAAGAAGAGUUACUCCACCUCGAUUGAGAGUGCUUAUGUUAAAUAAUUGAUGUUGCUACUUCAAAUAAUUGAGGUCAAUCAAAUUGGUCAUAAUUAUUCAAGUCAAUUUUGAGCUAUAUGUCAUAAUUAAUUAGGUCAUAUACUAAUUGAAAUUACUAAAUGACUCGAGUAGGUAUGAAUUCACAUUGCCACAUGACCUUAAUUAUUUUAUGUAGCAACAUCAAGUAUUGAACGUCAUUUAGUUAUCAAUUAUGACAUGUAGCAAAUCAAAUUACAUGCCGCAAUUUCGUGUUUAUGAUGGGCUCAUGCUUACAUUCAUAUAUAACCCUUCAAUACGUAGUUGGAGCAAUUCUUAGACAAGAAGACUGUGUAAAAUGAUAUGCCUAUUCAAUGUCAAAAAGGUUAAUGUCUCAAUAGAUUUGAUCUACGUUUUGGCAAAGUAAUCUUAUGUUCAUAUUUUUUCUAACCUAUGGUGAACGUUCUAAAUCAUGUGAAAUUCAUUCAAAAAUAUCUUUCAGUAUUUAUGGACUUAAGUGAAUUCUGAGCAAAAUAAAGUGAUUAUGAUUACGUUCAUGUACUUUAAGUUUAUACUGGUGAUCAACACAUCAUAAUUUCAUCCCUUACUGUAUGUGCACCAUGCAUUAUCUGUACAUGCAGAAGUGGUUAUCCAUUGUUUCAUAACAUGGUUGAGUAAAGGAUGUUCUGCUUUUAGUAUUAAGCCAAUCGGGUGUUGACAAGAAGGGGAAAAUGCAAUUGCUCAGCUAUUACAGUUUUUUUUGCAACCAUAAUACUGGUUAAGCCUUGGUUACAUUCGCCGGCUCGUGGCCUUACGUCGAGUCAAAAUUAACAGUCUUAAUCAUCCUUGUACCAGCUACUACCAGCUACACGUGGGUGGUUUGUACAGGAAUACCUAAAACUGCUGAUUUUGUCUCGCCGUAAGGCAACCGGUCAAGGAAUGUGACCAAGGUAUUAAUAAUAAUCGCUUAUUGUUGUGUUAGAGGGAAGGAUUCUGGGUCGAAUCUAGCUUUCUUUAUGUGAUCUCAAAAUGGCAGCAAUGUAUGAAUAGUGAAAGUAGUUCAUGUGGCAUCUCAAUGUUCAUGGAUAUAAAUCUUUGUACAUGUCUUAUCCUAAAGAUGAAAUGUUACUGCAUUAUUCUAGCAGUCAUUUAUGAUAUCAAAGAUGUUCUAUACUGUGCAUAGUACAGCUCAUACAUAAUAAAGGUAUGUGAAUAUGCUUUUAA